GACGAACGCUGGCGGCGUGCUUAACACAUGCAAGUCGAACGGAAAGGCCCUGCUUUUGUGGGGUGCUCGAGUGGCGAACGGGUGAGUAACACGUGAGUAACCUGCCCUUGACUUUGGGAUAACUUCAGGAAACUGGGGCUAAUACCGGAUAGGAGCUCCUGCUGCAUGGUGGGGGUUGGAAAGUUUCGGCGGUUGGGGAUGGCCUCGCUGCUUAUCAGCUUGUUGGUGGGGUAGUGGCUUACCAAGGCUUUGACGGGUAGCCGGCCUUAGAGGGUGACCGGCCACAUUGGGACUGAGGUACGGCCCAGACUCCUACGGGAGGCAGCAGUGGGGAAUAUUGCACAAUGGGCGGAAGCCUGAUGCAGCAACGCCGCGUGCGGGAUGACGGCCUUCGGGUUGUAAACCGCUUUCGCAUGUGACGAAGCGUGAGUGACGGUAAUGGGUAAAGAAGCACCGGCUAACUACGUG
rnacentral:rRNA from 1 species